UUUUUUUUUUUUUUUUUUUUUUUUUUUGCAGCUUAUAUUCCUAAGUCUCCUGGUCUCCUGUUAGGAAUCCUCUCUUCCACUGCCUUCUCUCUUACUGAAUUUAGAAAAUGCUCCUUGGGAAUACCUGGGUGGCACAAUAGUUGAGCAUCUGCCUUUGGCUCAGAUUGUGAUCCUGGGGUCCUGGGAUAGAGUUCUGCACCAGGCUCCCUGUGGGGAGCCUGCUUCUCCCUCUGUCUAUGUCUCUGCCUCCCCCCGCCCCCGCCGUCAUAAAUAAAUAAAUAAUCUUUUAAAAAAGAAAAUGCUCCUUGGUUUGACCCUUCAGACUUGGGAAGGGGGACAUGUAACAACUUCCUGCUGCUGGUAGUCUUUAAGAACCCCAACAGUCCUUUCUGUUCCUUUUAAACCUACCCACACCUCUGAAAGCACUCCUGUUAUUGGGUUUUAUUGGACCAUUUGUGUCAGGUUCCAUCUCUUGCCAGAGUCAUGGCUGAUACAAAGAGAUCAGAAAAAACAAUAGCUUCUCCCUUUGAAGUAAUAAGAUAAAAAUGAAGAGGAUUCAUAGUAACUUUAAUAAAAUCUGUUUCUGUGUAUAUAAACAAUCUCUACAUUUUUCAUGGCUUUAUCCGGUGGUUUGAGUAUAAAAUAUUUAUCACAACUUGAAACAAAAGUUUGGCAUCUCCAUACUGAUUUGUAUAUGAAGCUUUCACUCUAGAAAUAAGGGCUGAAAGCAGUGGGCUGUCUUGUAAUUAAAAACAGGAAUCAUAUAAUGGUUCACCUGGUGACAGUGUACUCUGAUCAUUGAUAAAAGGUCUAAAAUUAUCUAUGUGUCCAUGUAUGUAUGAAUAGACACUCCACAAACACAAUCCACUGUGCAAGAACAUGACAACUGAAAGACUUUAUUACAGUGCUGCAGAACAUGUAUCAAGUACUCAGUGGGCUGAUUCCAAGCUGCUUUAUUUUUUCCUGGCCUCAAUGCCCUCAAACUAGCCAAUAAGCUAGCACAUUUCCCAUGGCACUUAACUAAAGAGAUGCUUUAAAAUCAAAACUUAAAAAAAUAUGUCCUCGUAGGAGAAACAUUUUAAUAGAUAUGGAGCACUGUGGGAAGGGAGGCAAAAGCAGCCAAUGGUUUUUCUCAUCUCCAUAAAGUUGGGAAUUUUAUAUAAAUAUCUUCAGUAUCAAGCUUGUGUUUUUCCAGGUUAUUUACCUGUGAAGCUGUAUUAAUCUGAAUAUUUUAAAUUAAGCUAAACAGUUGAUUAAGUGGAGAGAAUGACUCAGACCCCUCCCAAUAUAUGUAAAACAAUGCUUUUAGGGGUUUCAAUUACUUAAGAAUUCAUUUCUUAUUCACUUUUAAAUUUAGCACACUAGGUCCUUUCUAAAUAAUUUGCUGUCCAUUUUAUUAUACAGGGAUUAUUUGUAAACAUGAGAAUAUAAACAAGGACCAGUCUUCAUUUUACAACAUGAAUCAUAAAACUGUAGGCUAAAGAAGAGUGAUUAAAAAACACCCUGAUGCAUGACUUUAAUGUAAUUAGAAAGAUGUUUUGCAUUCAUGAAAAAUUAUAGGUCUCUAUCAAUCCGUCUAUAAACAAUUAUAACCUUAUCAUUUAAAAUUACUGCAACAUCAAAAAUAAAAUAAAAUUACUGCAACAUCAUACACAUAUGGUAUAUAUUUAGCUACAGUGAUUGAAAUUUUUAAGAAGUGCUUCCCUUUCAAAAGUGCAAUUUUGGAUCCUUUCCUAUUUUCCCUUUCUUUUGGUAAGCACAUGCAUAAUAGACAAUAACACCAUUAUAAGUGUAUUAGAAAUAUGAAAACACAAUCUAAUCCCAAUGCAAAGCACUGCUAAAAAGCAAAGCAUCAUGUACAAAAUCAGAUGUUUUAAAUGGAGAGAUACAUUGUAUUAAUGGAUUGGAAGACUCAACAUGGUAAAAAUGUAGAUUCUCUCUAGAUUGAUGUACAGGUUUAAUGACAUUCCUAUCAAAAUAGAGUAAGGUCUUUUUUGCAGACCAAACAAGGUUAUUCUAAAAUGUAUAUGGAAUGACACAGCCCUAUCCUAGCUAAAACAAUCUUGACAAAGUACAAAGUGAGAGGAAUCACACCACCCAAAAUUAAGACUUACAUGUAACUAUAGUAUAAUCAAGAGAAUUGGAAAUGGUGGCAGGUAGAGUCAUAUAAAUUAAUGCUGUGAAACAGAGAACCCAGCAAUAAACCUAUACAAAUAUACCCAACAAGUUCUGAAGAAGUUGUAAAAGCAAUCCAUACUAAGGAAUGAUAGUCUCUUCAAGAAAUGGUACUGGAACAGUAGAUAUCGACAAAAAACCAGACUUAAGUCUAACACGCUGCAAAACUAACACAAAUGUUAAAUAUCCAGCUGUUUAUCUUUUAGAAAUAUAUAUACGAGAUGCUAUUCAUGACUUAAGCAAAGGCUUUUUUAUGCUUGCCACAUAAAGCACAACCUACAAACAGAAAAAUCGAUAAAAGAAAUUUUGUCAAAAUUUUAAAAGUUUUGCUGUGCAAAGGAACCUGUUAAGAAGAUGAAAUACAAGAUAUAGACUGUGAGAGGUGCCUAGUUGGCUCAGUCGGUUAAGCAUCUGCCUUCAGCUCAGGUCAUGAUCCCAGAGUCUGGGAAUUGAGCAGGGAGCCUGCUUCUCCCUCUGCCCCCUUUCCCCGCUCAUGCUCACUUUCUCACUUAAAUAAAUAAACAAAAUCUUUAAAAAAAGGUAUAGAGUGCAGGAAAAUAUCUGCAUAUCAUUUGUAUAGACACGGAUUAGUAGCUAGAAUAUUUAACUCAAAAGUCAAAAGUAAAAAAAAAUCAGAAAAUGGGGCAAAAGAUGUAAAGAUAUAUUUUUCUGAAGAGUAUAUACAGAUGACAAAUACAUAAAAAAAGAUAUUCAUUAUUACUAGGCAUUAGGGAACUGCAAAUUAAAAUCACAGUGUGACAAAACUACAAAUCUACAGAUUGGCUAAAAGAAAAUAAUAGUGACAACACCAAAUGCUGACAAGGAUAUAGAAAAACUAGAUCACUUAUACAUUGCUGGUGAGAAUGUAAAAUGCUACAUAGCCACCUCUGGAAAAUAGUUUUGUAGCUUUUUAAAAGCAAGCAAGCAAACAACAAAAUAAAAUAUGAAACCACCAUAUGGUUGAGAAAUACACCCAGGGGCAUUUUUCCCCAGAGAAAUGAACAAUUUUUUUAAAGAUUUUAUUUAUUUAUUCAUGAGAGAUACAGAGAGAGAGGCAGAGACACAGACAGAAAGAAGUGGGCUCCUCGCGAGAGCCUGACACGGGAUUCGAUCCUGGGACCAGGAUCACGCCCUGAGCCAAAGGCAGAUGCUCAACUACUGAGCCACCCAGGUGUCCUGAGAAAUGAAAAUUUAUCUUGCACACAAACCCCUGCACAGGAUUGUGCAUGGGAGCUUUAUUGGUAGUAACUCCAAACUGCAAAGAAUCAAAGUAUCUGUCAAUCAAGGUUUAAUAAACUAUGGGAUAUCUGUAAUAAAUGAAUCAGCAAUAUAUAUUAGGAAAUACCAUUUGAUUUCACUCAUGGGAUCUUAAAAAAAGUACAAAUGAACAAACAGAACAGAUUCAUGAAUAAGAGAAUAAACUGGUAGUUGGAAGAGGGGAAGGGGGGGAUGGGUUGAAAUACAUGAAGGAGAUUAAGAGGCACA
rnacentral:lncRNA from 1 species